GAGUUUGAUCCUGGCUCAGAUUGAACGCUGGCGGCAUGCUUUACACAUGCAAGUCGAGCGGCAGCGCGGGUGAGGGAAACUGAGCCUGGCGGCGAGCGGCGAACGGGUGAGUAAUAGAUAGGAACGUAUCCGGGAGUGGGGGAUAACUAGCCGAAAGGUUAGCUAAUACCGCAUAUUCUCUAUGGAGGAAAGCGGGGGACUCCUAAACCGAGGGCACAGCGGCAGUGUUUUGGGUUUAGGGGCCUCGCGCUCGCGGAGUGGCCUAUCUCCGAUUAGCUAGUUGGUGAGGUAAAGGCUCACCAAGGCGACGAUCGGUAGCUGGUCUGAGAGGAUGAUCAGCCACACUGGGACUGAGACACGGCCCAGACUCCUACGGGAGGCAGCAGUGGGGAAUUUUGGACAAUGGGGGCAACCCUGAUCCAGCCAUGCCGCGUGCGGGAAGAAGGCCUUCGGGUUGUAAACCGCUUUUAUUCGGGAAGAAGGAGUAGGGG
rnacentral:rRNA from 1 species